rnacentral:lncRNA from 1 species
AACAUGUUUGCAGUUCCUGCAAAGUGCUUGGUUUUGCCUUUGUUCCUGCAGCAGGAAGCCUUGCCUUUUUUUCUCAGGCUAUUUAAAACUUGUCUGUGAUGACAUGAUUAGAAAGGUGCAGGUUCUUUACUGCUCUGUGUAGAAAAAAAUCACUGACUUUUUUUUUUUGCAUUUUUCAGUUUUCACCUGUCUUUACUAACCUACAUGGAAGAUGCUGCUUAAAUUAUGGCCUACCUUCCCUUUCUAGCCUUACCCAUGUGUUUCUGGAAACAUCUUUACACCCAUGCUAACAGCCAUGAGGCUGGAUCAUGAGCUGUGUCAAGGAGCUGACCCCAGCAAGAAUCUAUCAAAACCAGCAAAAUAAAUAAAUAAUAAUAAUAAAAUAAAAAUUUUUGAAGCUGCAGCCUGAAGAGCUACAGGCUUAUAUCUCUCAACUUACUGGAUCCAGCCACAAACCAGAUGUUCUGGAGGGGGCUUUCUGGCUGGAUGAGUUCCUAAGGAUGGUUCAGAGUCAGCCACCUGUGCUCCAGGAACCCUUGGUAACAAACUAUAGAGGAAAGAUGUAUAUACUAAAUGACAAGGAGAUGAAUGCUGAAGUUUCCAUGUGCAUUCAAGUGUUUGGUGUUUCUACUCUUCUUCCAUUUGAGAAGACCAUAUAUAUGAUAUUGCUGCCAUUAUAAUGACAUUCUUCAACAAGGAAGAUGCGUCUUUUUAUGGGCAUUGGCACCAUUUACAGGAUCCACAUUUAUGCAAGUCUGUUCUGUAUUUCAUUUAAAUAAAGCCUCCAUAAAAGCUUUGAU